rnacentral:rRNA from 1 species
CGGCGGACGGGUGAGUAACACCUGGAUAACCUACCUAUAAGACUGGGAUAACUUCGGGAAACCGGAGCUAAUACCGGAUAAUAUAUUGAACCGCAUGGUUCAAUAGUGAAAGACGGUUUUGCUGUCACUUAUAGAUGGAUCCGCGCCGCAUUAGCUAGUUGGUAAGGUAACGGCUUACCAAGGCAACGAUGCGUAGCCGACCUGAGAGGGUGAUCGGCCACACUGGAACUGAGACGCGGUCCAG